UACGGAGGGUGCAAGCAUUAAUCGGAUUUAUUGGGCGUAAAGGGCGCGUAGGCGGAAUUGUAAGUCAGAUGUGAAAUUCUGGUACUCAAUACCAGGACUGCAUUUGAAACUAUGAAUCUAGAGGGUAGGCGGAGAAAACGGAAUUCCACGUGUAGCGGUGAAAUGCGUAGAUAUGUGGAAGAACACCUGUGGCGAAAGCGGUUUUCUAGCUUACUUCUGACGCUGAGGCGCGAGAGCAAGGGGAGCAAACAGG
rnacentral:rRNA from 1 species